CUCAAAAUCAAAACGCCACUUAUGCGAAUGUAGCGUACGGAUCGUCACCGGAUGUGAACCUUGCUCCAGCGGGGACAACAAAUGUGUACGAGAGUUUAAGAAUUUCUCAGCCAAUCGAGAGAGGAACUACACCUCCCAAAGAGAUAACUCAGCCAAAAAAGUCUCAGAUCAACAGGCGGUUGCUCAUUGCAUUGGUGAUAGUAGGAAUAGUAUGUGCCGCACUGGUUGCUAUUGUUGCUUGGUCACUUGCCUUUAACCCUAAGGGAAUAGGCCAAGAACAGGACCUGAAUAAUGAGAGUUUGGUUUCAUCAAGGAAUGGUUCAAAUUUGACCGACCAUUGCCGAAGCAAACCUUGCAGAAAUGGUGGCACGUGCGAGAACUCAGUGGCCUCGUUCCGAUGUUUUUGUUCCCUGGAUUACCAAGGCACAUAUUGUGAAAACAGGGUCGACCAUUGCCUUAGCUCACCCUGCAAAAAUGGUGCCUUCUGUGUGAAUUUGGCAACUACGUUUCGAUGCUCUUGUACUUCCGGUUUUCAAGGCGAAACAUGCG